rnacentral:rRNA from 1 species
GAUGAACGCUAGCGGCAGGCUUAAUACAUGCAAGUCGAGGGGUAGCAAGAUUGUAGCAAUACAAUUGUUGACGACCGGCAAACGGGUGCGGAACACGUACACAACCUUCCUACAAGUGGGGAAUAGCCCAGAGAAAUUUGGAUUAAUACCCCGUAACAUAGCGAUGUGGCAUCACAUUGCUAUCAUAGCUUCGGCGCUUGUUGAUGGGUGUGCGGCUGAUUAGAUAGUUGGCGGGGUAACGGCCCACAAAGUCUACGAUCAGUAGCUGAUGUGAGAGCAUGAUCAGCCACACGGGCACUGAGACACGGGCCCUACUCCUACGGGAGGCAGCAGUAAGGAAUAUUGGACAAUGGACGCAAGUCUGAUCCAGCCAUGCCGCGUGAAGGAUUAAGGUCCUCUGGAUUGUAAACUUCUUUUAUAAGGGACGAAAAAAGGUCUUUCUAGAUCGUCUGACGGUACCUUAUGAAUAAGCACCGGCUAACUCCGUGCCAGCAGCCGCCGUAAAAC